rnacentral:tRNA from 1 species
GAGGGUAUAGCUCAGUGGUCAGAGUGAGUGCUUAGCAUGCACGAGGUCUGGGUUCAAUCCCCAGUACCUUCA